rnacentral:rRNA from 1 species
UACAUGGGGUGCAAACGUUGCUCGGAAUUAUUGGGCGUAAAGCGUGCGUAGACGGUUAUGUAAGUCAGAUGUGAAAGCCCCGGGCUUAACCUGGGAAUGGCAUUUGAGACUGCAUAGCUAGGGUGCGGAAGAGGGAAGCGGAAUUUCCGGUGUAGCGGUGAAAUGCGUAGAUAUCGGAAGGAACACCAGUGGCGAAAGCGGCUUCCUGGUCCAGCACCGACGUUCAGGCACGAAAGCGUGGGGAGCAAACAGG